CCAAAAAUCUAGCCUUCUUUCCCCCCCCCCCCCUUUUUUUAAACCCAAAACAAAAUAUUUUAACAGUUUAGUAGAGAAGAUUAAAAAACUUUUAAGAGCUAUAAACAUGUACCGUAAGGGAAAGAUGAAAUAAAAAUGAAAUAAAUUUUACGCACAAAGAAUUAGAGACUAACCCUCGUACCUUUUGCAUCAUGGUUUAGCUAGUCUAAUUAGGCAAAAAGCCCCUUAAGUCUAACCCCCCGAAACUAAGUGAGCUAACUUAGGACCGCUUAAUGAGCUAACCCGUCUAUGUUGAAAAAUAGUGGGAAGAUCCUAAGAUAGAGGUGAAAAACCUAACGAACUUAGUUAUAGCUGGUUUCUCAAUAAAAGAAUUUUAGUCCAACCUAAAGCAACAGAUAUACACAUAAAUUAACUACCUCACUUUAGAGCAAUUCAAAUAAGGUACAGCCUAUUUGAUACAGGACCCAACCUUAAUUAACGGGUAAUACUCGAUUUACAUUUAUAAGUAGGCCUAAGAGCAGCCAUCUUUUUAAAAGCGUCAUAGCUUAAUCAUGUUAUCCCAAUCCCUCAACCCCACUCGACCCCUUUAAUUGUACUGAGAACUUCUAUAAGAUUAUAGAACUUUUCAUGCUAAAACUAGUAACAAGAGGUAAUCCCUCUCUAUAAUGCAAGUAUAACCCAGCAAGAACCCACCACUGGCAACUAACAGAUAUAAACAAAAGUAGCAACCCAUCUAGAAAACCCUACUUAUAUUACUGUUAAUCUAAUACUAGAGCAUUUCAAGAAAGAUUAAAAGAAAAAGAAGGAAUUCGGCAAAUAUUAGCCCCGCCUGUUUACCAAAAACAUCGCCUCUUGCCAUCAUAAGAGGUCUAGCCUGCCCAGUGACUUCUGUUCAACGGCCGCGGUAUCCUAACCGUGCGAAGGUAGCGUAAUCACUUGUUUCCUAAAUAGAGACCAGUAUGAAAGGCAUCACGAGGACUAAACUGUCUCCUUUCUCUAAUCAGUGAACCUAAUCUCCCCGUGAAGAAGCGGGGAUUUUUUUAUAAGACGAGAAGACCCUAUGGAGCUUAAAACAUCACACACCUGUCACUCUAUUUAAAAUACCCCGAUAUUCCCUCCCCCGUGACACACUGACUAUAUGUUUUUGGUUGGGGUGACCGCGGAGAAAAAUUUAUCCUCCACAAUGAAAGGGAUCUUCCCUGAACAGUAAGCUACAACUUUAUGUACCGGUAAACUGACAUCCAUUGACCCAAUAUAUUGAUUAACGAACCAAGUUACCCUAGGGAUAACAGCGCAAUCCACUUUGAGAGCCCCUAUCGACAAGUGGGCUUACGACCUCGAUGUUGGAUCGGGGUAUCCUAGUGGUGCAGCCGCUACUAAAGGUUCGUUUGUUCAACGAUUAAAACCCCACGUGAUCUGAGUUCAGAUCCGGAGUAAUCCAGGUCAGUUUCUAUCUAUAACAGAGCUUUUUUUAGUACGAAAGGACCAAAAUAGCAGGGCCAAUGUCUAUACAAGCCAUAGUUAAUUAUUUUUGAACUCCCCCUCAAAAAAUUAUCAACCUAUAACCCCCCUCAAGAAAAGAAUA
rnacentral:rRNA from 1 species